UGCAGAAAUACUUUUUAUUCUUGUUAACUCUACAAUGGAGAUGUCUUGUCGGAAUUCCCAGCAUGGUAUCAGAGCCUUCUCUUGAAGGUCUCUAAUCCUACUUCUGUUGGAUAUACUUUGUUCGUUCUGAUUGUAUCAAUAAUUGCAAUUGCAACUAAAGCUGAGGUACAAACUACUGUAAACGAUAGUGCGAAUGAUGUCUACAUUCAACAGGGACUAGAGCGUACAGUAUGGAUCGAAGACUUUGCAGCUUCAAAGCUUUGAUCAUCUAGUUCCUAAUGGCCGGGCUGAAUAAAUGUGGUCUCAAGUGUGAGAAUUGUGAUAAACCUCAACAUGAUAGGAGAACAUGCUUCAAGUUGCACGAGGGCGCCAGAGUGGUAUAAGGAGCUAAUAUAUCAACGAAAGAAAAUUGGUUCCGGCAACAAGGCAUUUGUUGUACAAAGGACAGAGGUUAAGAAUCAGAAGGAUGACAGAGCCUUAGUUUCUAAUGUUGUGAUGGAGCUUAUGAGGUGCUACAAAGGAUACCAAAUGAUGCUAUUCAAGUGAACUAUGCAGGUAAGUAUGCAGGUAUGAACUCUACAUUCUCCAGAAUAAGUAUUUAGGUAAAGACAUCUGGAUAAUAGACUCUAGAGGAAUGAGUUAUAUGCGCGCAGAAGUGCUAAAUCCUUUCACGCCCUAAACACCUACUGCAAAGCUACUUCUACAUUGCUACCUGGUGGUACCACCAAACAACUCAGACAAUCUGGC